AUCAGGCUGAGGAGUCCCAAAUAGGACGAAACACGUGUCCUGGAU
rnacentral:hammerhead_ribozyme from 1 species